ACUGGGUUAAAUAUUCAUUUGAAGUUAAAAUGUACAUGAAUAUAAUCUAAAUACAGCAGGGCUUAUAUUUUAACUAGUACCCAAAUUAUUCACACUUUUCAGAACUAAAUUUAGGCUUCCAUUUUUGGGUUGAAACUGAUAAAGCACAAAGCCCUACCACAACCCAAACACUGAAAAGGAAAAUAAAUUUUAAAAGCCCUCACAGCACAAAUUGAAAACAAGCUAAGAUCCUCAUGUAGACUGGAGAGAAAUGGCUCUCUUGCUCUGGUUUGCAUUUUAGUUCUCAUUUUUCAUGUUUUUUGCAAGCAGGUAGGAGCAAAGAUCACAAGUCCAGAUGUCUUGCUGCUUUCAAAUCUUCUUGAGUUUGAAUUAGAGGGAUGAGAAAAAGAGCAGACAAAAACAUGGAUAAAUACAAGAUAAAUUUUGAAAGAAAACUUUUAAAAACCAAUCAUGGUUGCUAAGUAACAAAAGCAUACUUAACCUUUGCUAAUGAUUAACAAACCACAAAAUUUGCACAAGCCAGGAAACAAGUAGCAAAGGCAUUUCUUUUUGGGAGUUUUACAGGUUUUUUUGCAGUUUUUGCUCUUCUAAAAUUUGCAAGGAGAUAAGAGGGAGGAAAUUAGAAAAUUACUGAGCUAAAGAAGGCUUUGUUCCCCUGUGAAAAACUAGCAAGAGAGGUUUGUGUUCAGAAGAUUUUUCCCUGAAUAAUACUCACCCUGAAAUGAGAUCUGAGCCUGAAUGUACCAAGCUACCUUUUGGGUUGGUGCCUGGUUUCCCAAGAUUUAUGUCACCUACUCAUCACUGCAAAGGCAUGGGGCAUGACCUUCACUUUGACUGUUCAGAGUCAAUUACGUUAAGAGAAGAAAACAGGAAAGAGGAGGAAAGAAAUGGGCACGUCCUGAUUGGGUUAAUAAGACAGGCAGCAUGCACAAGGCUGCUGAAAUUAGGUAAGAGUCUGCUACAAAAAAUAAAAACAUUUUUAAUGGGUUUUCCUUUUACUGGGAAACAUUAUGUGAAACUAGCCAAUGCACUGGAAAAUGAAUGCACUGAUGGGCCUGAGGAAGCAGGAUCUAUCAGAUACUGAAUAAUCCAGACAUGAUUCCUUGUAUGUUUGCAAACUACAAGGAGACAACUGAACAGAAUUUCAAGCAUCUUAAAUUUCAUGUUAAAUAUGUCAGCAGGUCAAAAGACUUUCUGCAGAAAUUUUCUGUUGAAAAUUAACAGUGCCAUGGCUGAGAUUAAUCCUAUAAACUUCUAAAUAAACCAUGGCUCUUUGUAGAGGUUGAUUUUCA
rnacentral:lncRNA from 1 species